AGAUCAAACUAUUGAAGAUAUUGAAUAGACUAAGAAAAGAUAGUCGUUCAGAGAUGAUCUCGAUGACACAGAUAUAAUCUCUUGACCUGCAGAUAACAGAAGGGAGAUAUAGGGAGAUCAUCAUAAGCCAGUAGGUGCUGAGAUUCCUAUUGAUAUUAUAUCUAUACUGGAUAAGUCUCCUACAGCUGAUGAAGUAGUUCCUGAGCAGCUUGGUGAGCAGAUACCUACAGAGUUAGUACCUUUGAGGAGAUCUAGUAGGGAGCGACAUACUUCUACUAGAUAUUCUACUCAUGAGUAUGUGUUGUUGACUGAUGGGGG
rnacentral:lncRNA from 1 species